GUAGUCCACGCCCUAAACUAUGUCAACUGGUUGUCGGGGAAGCAAUUCCUUGGUAACGAAGCUAACGCGUGAAGUUGACCCCCUGGGGAGUACGGCCGCAAGGUUAAAACUCAAAGGAAUUGACGGGGACCCGCACAAGCGGUGGAUUAUGUGGAUUAAUUCGAUGCAACGCGAAAAACCUUACCUACCCUUGACAUGCCAGGAACCCUCCAGAGAUGGAGGGGUGCCCGAAAGGGAACCUGGACACAGGUGCUGCAUGGCUGUCGUCAGCUCGUGUCGUGAGAUGUUGGGUUAAGUCCCGCAACGAGCGCAACCCUCGUCCUUAGUUGCCACCAUUCAGUUGGGCACUCUAGGGAGACUGCCGGCGUUAAGCCGGAGGAAGGUGGGGACGACGUCAAGUCAUCAUGGCCCUUAUGUCCAGGGCCACACACGUGCUACAAUGGGCGGUACAAAGGGUCGCGAACCCGCGAGGGGGAGCCAAUCCCAAAAAGCCGCUCUCAGUUCGGAUUGGAGUCUGCAACUCGACUCCAUGAAGUUGGAAUCGCUAGUAAUCGCGGAUCAGCACGCCGCGGUGAAUA
rnacentral:rRNA from 1 species